AAACCAACAGGGAUUGCCUCAGUAACGGCGAGUGAAGCGGCAAAAGCUCAAAUUUGAAAUCCCCCGGGAAUUGUAAUUUGAAGAGAUUUGGGUCCGGCCGGCAGGGGUUAAGUCCACUGGAAAGUGGCGCCACAGAGGGUGACAGCCCCGUGAGCCCCUCUAAAGCUUCUACCCCAGAUCUCCAAGAGUCGAGUUGUUUGGGAAUGCAGCUCUAAGUGGGUGGUAAAUUCCAUCUAAAGCUAAAUACCGGCGAGAGACCGAUAGCGAACAAGUACAGUGAUGGAAAGAUGAAAAGCACUUUGAAAAGAGAGUGAAAAAGUACGUGAAAUUGUUGAAAGGGAAGGGCUUGCAAGCAGACACUUAACUGGGCCAGCAUCGGGGCGGCGGGAAACAAAACCACCGGGGAAUGUACCUUUCGAGGAUUAUAACCCCGGUCCUUUUUUCCAUGUCGCCCCGAGGCCUGCAAUCUAAGGAUGCUGGCGUAAUGGUUGCAAGUCGC
rnacentral:rRNA from 1 species